AGCAGCCGCGGUAAUUCCAGCUCCAAUAGCGUAUAUUAAAGUUGUUGCAGUUAAAAAGCUCGUAGUUGAAUUUCGGGAUCAAUUAGUCGGUCGUGCCUCUGGUACGUACUGGUUUUAUUGGUUCCUCCCUUCUGACGAAACAUGAUGUCAUUAAUUUGGUGUCGUGGAGAAUCAGGACUGUUACCUUGAAAAAAUUAGAGUGUUUAUAGCAGGCUAACGCUUGAAUACAUUAGCAUGGAAUAAUGAAAUAGGACGUUCGACCCUAUUUUGUUGGUUUCUAGGAUCGACGUAAUGAUUAAUAGGGAUAGUUGGGGGCAUUAGUAUUCAAUUGUCAGAGGUGAAAUUCUUGGAUUUAUUGAAGACUAACUACUGCGAAAGCAUUUGCCAAGGAUGUUUUCAUUAAUCAAGAACGAAAGUUAGGGGAUCGAAGACGAUCAGAUACCGUCGUAGUCUUAACCAUAAACUAUGCCGACUA
rnacentral:misc_RNA from 1 species